AGUCUGGCAGCGGCCGUGUAUCAUCGCACAUCGUUCUAUGGUACAGUCAGAGGGGCAAGAAAAGAGAGUCACCAAGGCGUUGAAUGUAGGGAAAAGGACAUGGAGAGGGGAGGAAAGCAGGUUUCCAUGACAACGGUGUCUGCUUAUCACACCUUCAGCGGAUUGUUCUGGUUCAGUCCAAGGGAGUGUGCCCUUGGCUCGGGGGUUCCUGAUUAGAGAGGAUAGGCAGACACAGCUUCUGCCUGCCUGUUGAAUGUCCAGGUGCUGCUUUAUGAUGGAAUAUUCACUGAUUCAGGCAAUUUGGGGGUUUUCCUCCAAGUCAAGCCAUAAUUCACUCCAAAAUAUUUUCCAGCUUCCCAAGGGAGACUUCAUCGCGAUAAGGCAAACAGAGCAUCAACCUUGGUCUCCAAUCCGUUUAGUUUUUCACAGUAGAUACAAUAGUGGUGGGAAAUGAGUGAAGGCUUCCUUUACGUCUACAGCCCCACCACAACUUAGAGGUGAGCGGAGGGUUUUCUGGGGAAGACCAAACAGUGGUUCCAGGAGUCAGAGGUGACACGCCUGUGGAGCAGAAUGGCAGCAGUGCAGGAGUGCAGGCUGCGAGGGAGGACGGGUGAUGUUGCAGAGGUGGAAGCAGGCUGACCGGAUCAUGGUAAUAAUGUGUCAGGUGGAAGAAACCAUGCUGUCAAGAAAAACACUCAGACUCCAUGAGAGGAGGAGGAAAUGAAGGAACUAUUAACACAUA